rnacentral:lncRNA from 1 species
AAAGGAUCAACAUCUCAAAUCUUAGUCAAUAACUUGUUGAUCAAUUCUUUCUUUGUUUGUUUAUCACAUUACAAAAGAAAACGUCAAUUCGGUUUACUGAUUCAAAAGAGUUGUUAGUAGCAAGCUCAAUAUUAAGGGUAACUUGCACCUGAAUUGAACUAGAAAUGCAUGUGUCCGUAUCAACUGGCGAGCCAUCGUUGAGGAGAUUGGUUUGACUUUUUCAAAGCAAAUUAAAGUACAUGGGGUGAGUCCAGCUGGCUACCAAUCUCGCUCAUUCAUUUAGGAUAAAUGUAUGGGAAAUAUGAUGAAAUGGUGCAUUAUUUUUGUAUUAGAUAUGUCUGUGUAACAUGGAAUUCAAGUAUUCUUUCAUGGGCUCAAAUGUGUUUUGGGAAGACUUCAUUUUGGUUAGUAAUAGGUAUAGUAGUUUACAGUGGGUGCACAUGGCUAUAUUCCCUUAGUUCUGCAGAUGGUGCAUGUCAUGGCUAUAUUAUUUGUCUUGUUCAGUGUUUCUACAAGUCAACAUGGUGCUUGGCAUCCUCAAGAGGAGACUGAGUUAGGUGAGUG